GACGAACCGUGCGAACGUUAUUCGGAAUCACUGGGCUUAAAGCGCGUGUAGGCGGGAGGGCACGUCCGUCGCUGAAAUCCCCCGGCUCAACCGGGGAACGGGCGCGGAUACGACCUUCCUUGAGGGGCGUAGGGGGACCUGGAACUUCCGGUGGAGCGGUGAAAUGCGUUGAUAUCGGAAGGAACGCCGGUGGCGAAAGCGACGUACUGGACCUCUUCUGACGCUGAGGCGCGAAAGCUAGGGGAGCGAACGGG
rnacentral:rRNA from 1 species